GUCACCAUGACAGAGAAUUACUCCUACUGCUGAGAAGCUCCCAAAGGGCCCCUAGAUGCUCUCCUUCCUUGGGUUUUAUGGUAGCCCUCCUUUUCUUGAAUUAAUUUCACCAAGGUUUUGUUCUGGCUUCACAACAUACUGACAUGGUUCUAAAUGUAUCAGCUGAUAGAUGGUAGGGAGAUGACAUUUGUAUGGUUUUUACACUAUUGAAAACUACCUAUCAUAUGACUUGUAAUCCAGAUGAUGAGAUUACGUUAGCAGUGGUAUUCUUGUCAGUUUCUUAGCCUUUUUUGGGGUGGGGGGAGUGGUACUGGGGAUAGAAUCCUGGAGCAGCAUGCUAGGCACUGCUCUGCCCCAGCCCUUUUUAUUUUUUGUUGAAGCAAGGUCUUGCCAAGUUUUUAUUUUUUAAUUUUUGAAUUUUUUUUUUGGCAGGACUGAGGAUUGAACAUAGGACCUUGCUCAUGCUAGGCAAAUUGUCCACCAACUUAGCUAUAUCCUCAAGCCUUUUUUUUUUUUAAUUUUGAGAUGGGGUCUCACUGAGUUGCCCAGGCUGGCCUUAAGCUUGUGAUCCUCCUGCCUCAGUCACCUGAAUAGCUGAGAUUAGAGGUGUGCACACCACAUUUGGCAUGGAAGCCUUUUAAAUAGAUGUUGCCAAAAUCAUGUAGCCCUAGCUAGUAAACACUUCUGCUAGGGCUAGUAAACACUUUAUAUCUGUUUUGUGUCACUUACAAAUUCAAGUCCAUGUGAUUUUAUUAAUACCUCCUCUGGUAAGCACUGUGCUGUGGGAGACAAAAAGAUGAGUAAGAUCUGGUCAUGGAGAGAUCACCUUGCAGAGCACCCUGCUCUGGCACACCAGUAGUCAUUAAGUAAGCCAGGAGCAACUGUGGCAUGAGAGGCAUCCUGGAGCUUCUGUGGUUUGGAUAGGCUUAGAAACAUUCUUGGGAUUUUUACCUGGCAAGAGGGUGAAGAGAUGCUCCAGGCAAAGGUCAAGAUUGCUUAAUCAAAGAGACACGGGGCUGCUCCAGGCACAGAGGUCAGCAGUAGACUUGACCCUGAGACGAUGUCUCAGCAUCACUUCCCUGGGAUUGUGGUUGAAUCAUUUAACAUCUUUCUUCAUGUCACUCCAACAAUAAAAUAAGACAGCACAUACUCUGCCUGUGCCAGACAUUGUCUAGACCAGUAUUUUUCCAAAGUACAAAGUCUCACCCAUUCCUGAAACCAACUUUAUGGUUUUAUGUGAUAUGACUAUCAGUUUAUUUCUUUGUGUAUUUUACUUGUUUUGUCUGUUGUCUAUUCCACUAAUAUGUAAAAAGGGCAAGAAUUUUUAUCUCCUUCCAUUCACCCUUUUUCCUCUUCUUCAUUCACAAGUAUUUUCCACUUGUAAUAGUCCUUGGCAUAUAGUGAGUGUUAAUACCUACUUGUUGAAAGAAUGCGUGAAAGAAUAUAUAUAUGACCUGGUUGCAUUGUAAAAUGUAUUUAAAAAAAUAUUUUUCUAGUUGUAGAUGGAAACAAAAUUUUUAUUAUAUUUAUCUACUUUUAUGUGGUACUGAGGAUCGAACCCAGUGCCUCACACAUGCAAGGCAAGUGCUUUACCACUGAGCUACAACUCCA
rnacentral:lncRNA from 1 species